ACGAACGCUGGCGGCGUGCUUAACCCAUGCAAGUCGAACGGGCCCGCUCUCUUUUUUGGGGGUGGGUUGAGUGGCGAACGGGUGAGUAUCACGUGAGUAACCUGCCCCCUGCUCCUGGAUAACUGCUUGAAAGGGCGGCUAAUACGGGGUGUGCCGGCUGGUCCGCAUGGGCCUGGUCGGGAUAGUUUCAUCUUCGGGUGUUUCGGUGGGGGGUGGGCUCGCGGCCUAUCAGCUUGUUGGUGGGGUGAUGGCCCACCAAGGCGGUGACGGGUAGCCGGCCUGAGGGGGUGCGCGGCCACACUGGGACUGAGACACAGCCCAGACUCCUGCGGGAGGCAGCAGUGGGGGGUAUUGCACACUGGGCGGAAGCCUGAUGCAGCGACGGCGCGUGAGGGAUGGAGGCCUUCGGGUGGUGAACCUCUUUCUCCGGUGGGGAAGGCCCUGUCCGUUGCGGCGGGGUUGACGGUAGCCGGGUAUGAAGCGCCGGCUAACUACGUG
rnacentral:rRNA from 1 species